GACGAACGCUGGCGGCGUGCUUAACACAUGCAAGUCGAACGGAAAGGCCCUGCUUUUGUGGGGUGCUCGAGUAGCGAACGGGUGAGUAACACGUGAGUAACCUGCCCUUGACUUUGGGAUAACUUCGGGAAACUGGGGCUAAUACCGGAUAGGAGCUCCUGCUGCAUGGUGGGGGUUGGAAAGUUUCGGCGGUUGGGGAUGGACUCGCGGCUUAUCAGCUUGUUGGUGGGGUAGUGGCUUACCAAGGCUUUGACGGGUAGCCGGCCUGAGAGGGUGACCGGCCACAUUGGGACUGAGAUACGGCCCAGACUCCUACGGGAGGCAGCAGUGGGGAAUAUUGCACAAUGGGCGGAAGCCUGAUGCAGCAACGCCGCGUGCGGGAUGACGGCCUUCGGGUUGUAAACCGCUUUCGCCUGUGACGAAGCGUGAGUGACGGUAAUGGGUAAAGAAGCACCGGCUAACUACGUGCCAGCAGCCGCGGUGAUACGUAGGGUGCGAGCGUUGUCCGGAUUUAUUGGGCGUAAAGGGCUCGUAGGUGGUUGAUCGCGUCGGAAGUGUAAUCUUGGGGCUUAACCCUGAGCGUGCUUUCGAUACGGGUUGACUUGAGGAAGGUAGGGGAGAAUGGAAUUCCUGGUGGAGCGGUGGAAUGCGCAGAUAUCAGGAGGAACACCAGUGGCGAAGGCGGUUCUCUGGGCCUUUCCUGACGCUGAGGAGCGAAAGCGUGGGGAGCGAACAGGCUUAGAUACCCUGGUAGUCCACGCUGUAAACGGUGGGUACUAGGUGUGGGGUCCAUUCCACGGGUUCCGUGCCGUAGCUAACGCUUUAAGUACCCCGCCUGGGGAGUACGGCCGCAAGGCUAAAACUCAAAGGAAUUGACGGGGCCCCGCACAAGCGGCGGAGCAUGCGGAUUAAUUCGAUGCAACGCGUAGAACCUUACCUGGGUUUGACAUGGAUCGGGAGUGCUCAGAGAUGGGUGUGCCUCUUUUGGGGUCGGUUCACAGGUGGUGCAUGGCUGUCGUCAGCUCGUGUCGUGAGAUGUUGGGUUAAGUCCCGCAACGAGCGCAACCCUUGUUCACUGUUGCCAGCACGUUAUGGUGGGGACUCAGUGGAGACCGCCGGGGUCAACUCGGAGGAAGGUGGGGAUGACGUCAAGUCAUCAUGCCCCUUAUGUCCAGGGCUUCACGCAUGCUACAAUGGCUGGUACAGAGAGUGGCGAGCCUGUGAGGGUGAGCGAAUCUCGGAAAGCCGGUCUCAGUUCGGAUUGGGGUCUGCAACUCGACCUCAUGAAGUCGGAGUCGCUAGUAAUCGCAGAUCAGCAACGCUGCGGUGAAUACGUUCCCGGG
rnacentral:rRNA from 1 species